rnacentral:piRNA from 1 species
UGCUACAGGUCUGGGGAGAGCCG